UGUGGUUUGCUGUAUUCAAUUGGUCAGAAAAGGGGUUAAUUUCCAGGCAGAGCUGUCUUAGGGAGUCAAAAGUUAAACUUUUUAUAUGCAUGCAUGAUCCCAGCUGUUCUUAGAACAAAACACAUUGCCGAAUGACUUGCUGCUGCUGACGCUGCCUUUUAGCACAGCAGUCAGCUGGAUUCCUUAGACUUCCUGAAUUUGAUUUGAGUUAUUAAUAAAGGAUUAUUACAGGCUGAGAUAUACGUCAUACAUCAUAGUCUUAAACCCUCCAUUAUUAAGGUGCUAUGUCAUGAUUGCUUUCAAUUGUGCUGAUUUUUCAACAAAGUUUUUAGUAAUAUGAUGCAUAUUGUUUGCUAAAAUAGUAUUGUCAGUUAGCAUCCUCAAAUUGCAUUAGACAUUUACACAAACAGGAAUAUGUAUCAGAAACUAUUGGUCCAACUGAGCAGAUUUUUUGUCUUCUCCCAUUAAACCCCCAUCUAAACAUGUUUCCCCGUAAUUUUUAUUAUUUUAUUAUUAUGCCUGUUUUACGCUCACUCUGAUAACACUGGACAGGAAAAGGGGAGAUCCAUCUUCUCGUCGAGCUAUCUAUUUUCAGCAGCGCACUGAUUUCGAAAGUGGUGAACCAGAGUUUCUAGAUUUGAAAUAAAAUGAGUUCCAGACAGGCUGAGGUUGAAGAAAGGGGCCAGGGUUCCACUGAUUUGAACGACGGAAGACCUGAAACGGAUGGAAGCCUGAAACGGAACAAUGCAAUGGAAUUACCGGAGAUGACCGCUGAUGAUUGAGUUCUUUUACUGUCCCGUGAGUCCCUGACUCCUUCACACUCAGCAGGCGUACUGGUCUAACCGAAAGUGUCCGUGUGUUUUAUGCUAACACCACGGGUAUGUUGAAGUGGCAUCUUUUUUUUUUUUUUUUUGGGAAACUAAUAAGAAAUGGGAAUGGAAAAUGAAAAUACAGCUGUACUGAACAAUGGCCAUGGCACACGGGUGCCAUAAAUGGUAAAACUUUAAAAAAAAUUGCUUAUGCUGCAAGGUAUACCAGUGUUUUUGAAUGUGUAGAAACAUUGUGCUCUCCAUAACAAGUUGAAAGGAGUGUGCACCUCUUCCAGCAACCACCACAAAGGUCAUCGUUGUAUUGAUUCCAACACCCUCAUUAUUUUGGCCGUGCGCCCACCAAACAAUCCCCAAGGGUAUCCGCACAACACUUUGGGCCGUUUCAAGAAAUCCAUGAAGCACUGAAUUAAAAUGUUCCUGUCCUGCAUUUUCAAAAACACUGGGACAGUGAUAGUGAAAAAAAAAAAAAAAAAACUAGAUGCAAGCUGGCACUAUAAGUGCAGUGAAAUUGUCUGCCUGCAUGGGCUGAGGUGUGCACAGAAGAGCAGUUAUCAAAACUUCUCAGAUUCAGUAUUUGUUCAUUAUUCAGUAGGUGCUCAUUGGUGCUCUCUCACCUGUCAAUUAAACGCAGGAUGCUUUCCCCUGAAGCAUUGGGCUCCCCAAAGUCCCUCCCCCACCCCUGGCUUCCUGUUCUUCUUGUUAACCCCACAUUUAGCGAGUUUGUUUGCUCCUGCCUUAGCUAGGCUUCCCAGGCAUUUGUCAGACUUGCUUUGUUCAACCAUCUUUACCUGUGUUGACAGCUGUGUAUGAGAUAAGUAUGCAUGGACCACCCAUAAUUGCAGCAUGGAGAAUUGCUUAUUCCCUUUUUGACUCUUAUUGUCCCAAGCAAUUAAGAUUCAGUCAAAUAAACUCAGUUGAAAUAUCUUACUGGAUGCUUAAGCAUGCAAGUGAAUAUCCCGCUGUUUCUGAUUGCUCAGUCUUCGUGCAUACAUUAUCUCAAAUUAGAUCAUAGUUGUCAUUAGAUGGACUGUCAGAUCUUAGAAGUUGUGGCUAAGCAAGGCUCAAGCACUCCUUGGGUACUGUCUUACACCCUAAUGCACCUUUUUCCACAUCAAUCCCAUAGAAACCUAUUUCUUUCUCAGCAAAUUUUUCAGGGGGCCCAAAGUAUUGUCUGGGCAGCUGGCUGCACUACAGGCAACCAAUGGUCAGAAAAUCCAUCAUAUAUUUGUGAAGAGUGAGAUGUAUUCAAAAAGUUUAGCUGUCACAUGCUGUGACACACCCCUUUGAUGGACAGAAGAGUUAGACACAGGGAGAUGCGAGAAUUCCGGAAUAUUCCGUUAUGUAUUUUAUAAGAGUGAGACUAAAGAGAUAGCGGACAUUGCAAAAAUAAAUAAAACAGCUUUGCCUUUCACCCUCACGGGAUCUGUGUAAGAAUAAUAAACCAACACAAUCAACUAAAAUAACAAAGACAAAAAAACCAAAAUUACAAAACAGCUGUUUUCUGUUUUCCUGUGUCUAUCUCAGGUUGUGAAUUCCUUGGUCACAGACAACUUCCCAGAGGAAAGCACACUUUAAACACCUGGACUAAUUAUUGAUGCACUCCAGGUGUGUGUGCCUAUUUAACCAGCAGGUGUGGUCCUCUGAUUGCCCUGAACCACUCCCACAAACCGAGCCCUGCCACAUUAGCCUUAAACCAACAUAUUUGCCCUGGAUUGUGAAGAGUACAGCAAACACUUACCCUGAUUGAUUAUUCAUUACUCCCUGCACAGAUGAGAAAAAAAAAACCAUCAGUCCUUCGUGCCCUAGCACAGGUUAUGCUGCAACAAAAGCUGCCAGGACUUUGUGUUGGUCGGGUCUGAGACCUAGAUUACAGGCAUUGAAUCAAGACAACUGCUUCUGUCAUUCGAAGGUCACAGCUUGUCCUUGGGAGUGCUGUGCUGGAAUCGAUUCGGGCAGAGUUAUUAGUCUUGGUCAGGGUCUCCUGACAUUGGCAAUGGGAUGCUUCACAUCGGGGACCAUCGCUCAAGCUUCCAUUCCUUUCCAAGGAUUCCAUCAUGCAGUUUCCGGAAGGUCACAAAGCGGGCCAAUCUCAGCUGGCGGUCCAUCGACUGUAGAUAUCCCAUUGGUCCUCUCCACUCUGUGCUGUGCCUUCCGCCUUAUCUGUAAUUGCCCAGGCCACACUGCACUGCUGACUGUUUCUAGAAGCUUCCACUUGACCAGCUGUUCUUGCAAGGACAUAGUCUCUUGGCCCCCUAUACACUAAAAAAGUUCUUACUCUUCCUUGUAUCAGGCUUGCCUGCCCACUCUCUGUGGUCAAGGUGCACACGCUAGGUCUAACACUGUUAGAGUGCAUGGAUUUACAUCCUGCUAUGUGUCCUGAGUCCAAGGCUUAAUUACUGCUUCCUGGUAGAAUGCAUAGAUUCACUACCUGCUUCCUCUUUGAGAACAUGGGUUAAUUACUGCUUCCUGUUAGAGUGCAUAGAUUAUCUCCCAAAUUCCUUUUAGACUACAUGGAUUAUCUUUCUAUUUCCUGUUGGAACAUGUGGAUGGGUUGACCCUCUGUCAUAGUUGUCUCCAUUGCAGUGAAGUUUAACUAGAGAUGAGCUCUCUCAAGCCAUCACUGAUUCACUGGCACAUUUAGUCUUAUCUUAUUGACUCCAGAACAAUCACCCAAUGCGUUUUCAUGUGCUCUCUCUCCUCACCAGAUCCCAUAUUCUGUUAAGCUGAUGCCCAUUUGAAAAGUGACUAUUUAACUUGAUUUAUGAUCAUAUAGACACAUUUUUCAUUAACUGAACCUUCAUAAUAUCUGCCCUUACGAUUUCAUUUUAGAAUGUAUAAGUAAAUAUAAGGUAGUUUAACAGCAAGAAAAGCUGUAUCUCUCUCCCAUGGGCACUGAAGAAAUUGCGACAUCAAUAAAGUGUGUAUGGAGGGGCCAUAACAGUAGAAUUUAUGAGAACAAAUUAAUUGCUGGGUAAAGGGCAGACAAAAGUCGGAAGCUCAAAAGACAGAAAUAGCAGGAAGAAAAGGCCUUUGGGCAUUAUGUAGCUUGAAAGAGAACAAACAGGAUGUGCCUUUCUUCCAUGCACCAAUUAAAAAAGAUUUUGCUGAAUAUUAUUCCUCUAUAUGAAUUACAGCGAGAAACUAGAGCAGACAUUUAUGAAUGUGCCAAGUUAAGAGUUAUUAGAGACAAGCAAGCACUUCAACGACAUCCCCGUCUGCUUCACUUUAGUAGAAAUGGAAGAGAGGGAAUAAAAUUGACACAUAGGAUGUUUGUGUUGACAUAGCUGUAUUGAAAAUGUUUUUUGUUUAAAUAAUCAUAAACAUUUCUGUAGUGCAAUCAUAUGCCAUGUAAUAUGCACAUAGUGUUUGCACUGUUAAAACCUCCUGUGAUGUUAUAUUGUCAAUUACCCUUAUGUACUUUUUUCUUGUUUAACACAUUAUUUUGUGUUUUAUUUCAAAUGCAAAGUAAAAUAUGGGUUAUGUAAGACUUCUUCAGACAUUUUUAUUUCCCUUUUAUCGUACCCUAUAUUUUUAUUAAUAUUAAUUAAAAUUGUAAUUGCAUUGCU